UUUUAAAGUCAUCAGCUCGCAAAUCCUCCAAACACUCCAAGAGGACCUUUGUAGGUGUCGCCAUCUUUUGUCCUGCUAAGAUCUGAAAGCCUGCUUUUCCCUCCACACCUGUCCUGCAUCAGCCUCGUCAGCCCUGCCCUGUUCCAUUUGUUCUCCCAGCCAAUCGGCUCCCUUCCUGUUCUCCUGCCUAGUCACCUGUUCCCUGUUCCCUCGUUAGUUCUGUCUGUAUUUAAGUCCAGUUUUCAGUUCAGUCUUUAUUGAAUAGUCUGUUCAUUCUGCCUGUUCCUGAGCUGCAGUUGUUGUUAAGUUUCAAUAAAUAUCUGUGCUU